AAACUUAAAGGAAUUGACGGAAGGGCACCACCAGGAGUGGAGCCUGCGGCUUAAUUUGACUCAACACGGGGAAACUUACCAGGUCCGGACAUAGUAAGGAUUGACAGAUUGAGAGCUCUUUCUCGAUUCUGUGGGUGGUGGUGCAUGGCCGUUCUUAGUUGGUGGAGCGAUUUGUCUGGUUAAUUCCGAUAACGAACGAGACUCCGGCAUGCUAACUAGUUAUGCGGCCCAGAGUGGUCGGCGUCCAACUUCUUAGAGGGACAAGUGGUGUUUAGCCACACGAGAUUGAGCAAUAACAGGUCUGUGAUGCCCUUAG
rnacentral:rRNA from 1 species